UACGAAGGGGGCUAGCGUUGCUCGGAAUCACUGGGCGUAAAGCGCACGUAGGCGGAUUGCUAAGUCAGGGGUGAAAUCCUGGAGCUCAACUCCAGAACUGCCUUUGAUACUGGCGAUCUCGAGUCCGGGAGAGGUGAGUGGAACUGCGAGUGUAGAGGUGAAAUUCGUAGAUAUCUGGAGGAACACCGGUGGCGAAGGCGGCAUCCUGGACCGGCAUUGACGCUGAGGCGCGAAAGCCAGGGGGAGCAAAGCGGG
rnacentral:rRNA from 1 species